GACGAACGCUGGCGGCGUGCCUAACACAUACAAGUCAACUUGAGGGAAGGAGCAAUCUGACCUGAUGGUGGCGCAAGGGUGCGUAACGCGUAAGUAACUUGCCCCAAGGUAAGGAAUAACGUCGAGAAAUCGGCGCUAAUACCUCAUAAUGCAGCGGAUCCGCAUGGAUAUGUUGUUAAAGGUUUACCGCCUUGGGAUAGGCUUGCGUCUGAUUAGCUAGUUGGUGUGGUAAUGGCACACCAAGGCUACGAUCAGUAACUGGUCUGAGAGGAUGAUCAGUCACACUGGAACUGAGACACGGUCCAGACUCCUACGGGAGGCAGCAGUGAGGAAUAUUGGGCAAUGCACGAAAGUGU
rnacentral:rRNA from 1 species